rnacentral:rRNA from 1 species
GACGAACGCUGGCGGCGUGCUUAACACAUGCAAGUCGAGCGGGAAACUUCGGUUUCCAGCGGCGGACGGGUGAGUAACACGUGGGCAACCUGCCUCACAAUGAGGGAUAGCCUUCCGAAAGGAAGAUUAAUACCUCAUAAUACAAAGAAAACGCAUGUUUUCUUUGCCAAAGAAUUUCGUUGUGAGAUGGGCCCGCGGCGCAUUAGCUUGUUGGUGAGGUAACGGCUCACCAAGGCUUCGAUGCGUAGCCGACCUGAGAGGGUGAUCGGCCACAUUGGAACUGAGACACGGUCCAGACUCCUACGGGAGGCAGCAGUGGGGAAUAUUGCACAAUGGAGGAAACUCUGAUGCAGCAACGCCGCGUGAGUGAUGAAGGUCUUCGGAUUGUAAAGCUCUGUCUUCUGGGACGAUAAUGACGGUACCAGAGGAGGAAGCCACGGCUAACUACGUGCCA